GCCCUUAUAUUCAAGUCUUUUUACUUUAAAGUCAAACUAAGGUUCCAGUACCAGCUUCAUUGAAAGAAAAACAUGUUUAUAACAUCAUAAUAACGAUCCAGUAAUUGUUAAAAAUAUAACAAUAGUACAUGCAACGUAACCCUUUGACAACCUAAAGACAUAUAAAAAAAAUCACAGUUUAUUGUACGGUGUCUCUUUUAUUUAACAUUCAAGUUUAUCUGUUCAAGUUUUCCUGCACUCCAAGUUCUGUUUCGGUCUACUGGUACACGUUUCGUCGUGCCAUCUUUCGGUAUGUUCGCAUUAUUGCCGUUACAUACAUUGACUUCAUUCGUUAUUGUUUAUAAAGGGUAAAGUUUCUUUAUUGGCCUUGGUGUUAUUACGUUUUCCGUCCUUAACACGACUGAGCUUAUUGUGCAACGUGUCCAAUAUUGGUCAGCUCCAACAAGUAGUCCUAUUUCAUAUGAUGCAUGUUUAGUUACGGCAUGAGCUAAUAUUGAAUUUUGCAAAUACGACAUUUUUUGACAGUUUGAAUGCAAGUCGUCAAUUGUGCAGCUAUUGUUGGUACAAUCAAUACAUCGACUGAAAUAUGUUCGCCAUAAGUAGUUUGUAACUUAACUGUUGCUGUGUCUAGUUGUUGUACUUUGUUGUUCUUGUCUCCAAAUCCCGAUAAUACUAUCGCCUCCCUUCAUGUUGGUCUUAUAUCCGAUUUAUCUGCUAAAUGCCUGGUAAAAAAUGACUUCGUCAAAAAGGAUAUUUGCGUUUUAAUAUCUUUUGUUUUCUUUAGCUUUGUGGUGCUGUUGCGGUCUUUAACAAAACAUCAGGACGGCCACAGUUGAAUGACGAAUAAAACGGAUGUCUCAGAUUCCUUCGAUUUGUAUGUUUAUGCUUUGUGUGUACUCGUAGUUUCUUUCCCAUUAUGCAUAUGGUCGUUGCUGCAUCAGAUAGUGUGAUGACGUCUGUAACUUUUUGUGCAGUUUAUUUCGAUUUACAAUCUGCUUAACGUGUCGCUCUAAGAAUUAAAGCAUAGUCUUCAAUUCUUACAUUUUUUCUGAUGUCGUUUUGAUCCAUAUAUUAAGUACAUUCUGAGGAAAAGUGGUGUUCCUUGCAGUAUGCACAGCUUACUUAUUGAUGAGUGUGCUGUGUUGAAUUGUUGGCCAGAUUUUAAGCGAUUUUGUUUUUGUGUAGAACGUAGCUGUAGUGCUCUGACUUUCAACUGUUUCUGUACUUCUACCAGACUUUUUUAACGGCCAGUUCUUGAUGAUAGAUCUCAUAAUAUCACCGCGAAACAAAUCUAUUGAACCGUGUUCAAGUUUUAAGUUUUUGCAUAUUUCACCAGGUAUUUUGUUGAGUAUGACUGGAACUAAUAACUACCCGUACGAGUCUCCAGCUUGUCCGUGAGAUUCUAAUCCACUUAUGUAUGUGUCUAUCCUGUCGUAAUAACUGCUGAGGUGUGUUAGCGUAUGUUUUGGUACGGGUUUGUACAGUAGUCUGCAUAUACGAUUGAAUGAUCUUAUGAUUUUGUUCGAAUUCUUCAUGUAUAUUAAAGUUCAAUAGCUUUAUUAUAGUUAGUAUGCGUAAGAGCAAAACCUGCGAUGGUGUAUCUAAAUUAAACUUAUAUUGGUCUGAGCCAAGUAUUUCUUGUUCUAUAUUCUCCUGUUGUACACUUUCUAAAAUGUUCAUAUCUAAAUCCUACAAAAUAUCAUGUGACUCCUUCAAUGUUUCAUGAUAUGUUUCUAAUUCGUCCUCUUCCAAUUCUUCUUCUUAUUCACUCCGCUCGUAAAAUUUUCUUAAAAUCCUAGAAACUGCGCCUAUGUUUUCCUCUCGAAAAUAAUUAAGCUUUGUAGUCAUCUUCUCCUGGUCAUGGUAUCAAUAUCG
rnacentral:lncRNA from 1 species